rnacentral:rRNA from 1 species
CCCUUAGAUGUCCGGGGCUGCACGCGCGCUACACUGAAGGAAUCAGCGUGCUAAAACCAUUGUCGAAAGGCAUUGGUAAACCCAUUAAAAUCCUACGUGAUUGGGAUCUGGAAUUGCAAUUAUUUCCCUUGAACGAGGAAUUCCCAGUAAGUGUGGGUCAUAAGCUCGCGUUGAUUACGUCCCUGCCCUUUGUACACACCGCCCGUCGCUGCCCGGGACUGAGCCGUUUCGAGAAAAGCGGGGACUGCUGCUGUCGGGGCUUUCGGGCCUUGGCUUCGGUGGAAACCGCUUUAAUCGCAGUGGCUUGAACCGGGCAAAAGUCGUAACA